UCUCCGUUGGUGAACCAGCGGAGGGAUCAUUACCGAGUUUACAACUCCCAAACCCCUGUGAACAUACCAUUUGUUGCCUCGGCGGUGCCUGCUCCGGCAGCCCGCCAGAGGACCCAAACCCUUGAUUUUAUACAGUAUCUUCUGAGUAAAUGAUUAAAUAAAUCAAAACUUUCAACAACGGAUCUCUUGGUUCUG
rnacentral:misc_RNA from 1 species